ACGUGAGCAACCUGCCCCUCACUCUGGGAUAAGCGCUGGAAACGGCGUCUAAUACUGGAUACGAGUUGGAGCCGCAUGGUUACCAACUGGAAAGAUUUUUUGGUGGGGGAUGGGCUCGCGGCCUAUCAGCUUGUUGGUGAGGUAAUGGCUCACCAAGGCGUCGACGGGUAGCCGGCCUGAGAGGGUGACCGGCCACACUGGGACUGAGACACGGCCCAGACUCCUACGGGAGGCAGCAGUGGGGAAUAUUGCACAAUGGGCGGAAGCCUGAUGCAGCAACGCCGCGUGAGGGAUGACGGCCUUCGGGUUGUAAACCUCUUUUAUCAGGGAAGAAGCGAAAGUGACGGUACCUGCAGAAAAAGCACCGGCUAACUACGUGCCAGCAGCCGCGGUAAUACGUAGGGUGCAAGCGUUAUCCGGAAUUAUUGGGCGUAAAGAGCUCGUAGGCGGUUUGUCGCGUCUGCUGUGAAAUCCCGAGGCUCAACCUCGGGCCUGCAGUGGGUACGGGCAGACUAGAGUGCGGUAGGGGAGAUUGGAAUUCCUGGUGUAGCGGUGGAAUGCGCAGAUAUCAGGAGGAACACCGAUGGCGAAGGCAGAUCUCUGGGCCGUAACUGACGCUGAGGAGCGAAAGGGUGGGGAGCAAACAGGCUUAGAUACCCUGGUAGUCCACCCCGUAAACGUUGGGAACUAGUUGUGGGGUCCUUUCCACGGAUUCCGUGACGCAGCUAACGCAUUAAGUUCCCCGCCUGGGGAGUACGGCCGCAAGGCUAAAACUCAAAGGAAUUGACGGGGACCCGCACAAGCGGCGGAGCAUGCGGAUUAAUUCGAUGCAACGCGAAGAACCUUACCAAGGCUUGACAUACACCAGAACACCGUAGAAAUAUGGGACUCUUUGGACACUGGUGAACAGGUGGUGCAUGGUUGUCGUCAGCUCGUGUCGUGAGAUGUUGGGUUAAGUCCCGCAACGAGCGCAACCCUCGUUCUAUGUUGCCAGCACGUAAUGGUGGGAACUCAUGGGAUACUGCCGGGGUCAACUCGGAGGAAGGUGGGGAUGACGUCAAAUCAUCAUGCCCCUUAUGUCUUGGGCUUCACGCAUGCUACAAUGGCCGGUACAAAGGGCUGCAAUACCGUGAGGUGGAGCGAAUCCCAAAAAGCCGGUCCCAGUUCGGAUUGAGGUCUGCAACUCGACCUCAUGAAGUCGGAGUCGCUAGUAAUCGCAGAUCAGCAACGCUGCGGUGAAUACGUUCCCGGGUCUUGUACACACCGCC
rnacentral:rRNA from 1 species